UAGGGAAUCUUCCACAAUGGACGCAAGUCUGAUGGAGCAACGCCGCGUGAGUGAAGAAGGUUUUCGGAUCGUAAAGCUCUGUUGUUGGUGAAGAAGGAUAGAGGCAGUAACUGGUCUUUACUUGACGGUAAUCAACCAGAAAGUCACGGCUAACUACGUGCCAGCAGCCGCGGUAAUAUGUAGGUGGCAAGCGUUGUCCGGAUUUAUUGGGCGUAAAGCGAGCGCAGGCGGAGUGAUAAGUCUGAUGUGAAAGCCCACGGCUCAACCGUGGAACUGCAUCGGAAACUGUCAUUCUUGAGUGCAGAAGAGGAGAGUGGAAUUCCAUGUGUAGCGGUGGAAUGCGUAGAUAUAUGGAAGAACACCAGUGGCGAAGGCGGCUCUCUGGUCUGCAACUGACGCUGAGGCUCGAAAGCAUGGGUAGCGAACAGG
rnacentral:rRNA from 1 species